rnacentral:rRNA from 1 species
CUACGUAGGGGGCAAGCGUUAUCCGGAUUUACUGGGUGUAAAGGGAGCGUAGACGGUUUGGCAAGUCUGAUGUGAAAGCCCGGGGCUCAACCGCGGGACUGCAUUGGAAACUGUCAGACUUGAGUGCAGGAGAGGUAAGUGGAAUUCCUAGUGUAGCGGUGAAAUGCGUAGAUAUUAGGAGGAACACCGGUGGCGAAGGCGACUUACUGGACGGUAACUGACGUUGAGGCUCGAAAGCGUGGGGAGCAAACAGGAUUAGAUGCCCUGGUAGUCCACGCCGUAAACGAUGAAUACUAGGUGUUGGGAGACAAUAGUUUCUCGGUGCCGCAGCAAACGCAAUAAGUAUUCCACCUGGGGAGUACGUUCGCAAGAAUGAAACUCAAAUGAAUUGACGGGG